ensembl:lncRNA
GUCUCUAUGAUGAUAUUACUGUUGGUCCAGAAGACCAAAAGCGGCUAUACUCACACUGACAGUGGUGCCGGAGUCAGCGUGGCUAUUCAGCAUGGAGCCCUUGGCUGCCACGGCUGGACACUGAAGCUACUGAUGGCCCUGAGACUGGCCCAUGUGGGCUGCUGUCACAGUCUCUGGGGCUGCAGAUGUUUAACUUCUGCCAGGCAACAAAGAGAAGGCUUCUCCAGCUGUGCAUCCCUCUAGCUCAUGGAUGUCCAACCUUCUGGCUUUCCUAGACCGCAGUGAGUGAAGAAGAACUAUCUUGAGCUGCGUAUAAAAUACAUUUGUGCCUGAAGAUUGAAAAGCUGUGUCCUUUGCACUUUGCAGGUGUGAGUGAGCUACAUAAAACUAGUUCCUCUUCACAAAAAGCGUCAUAUCUACAAGUGAAUAUCUGCUUUUAGGACAUGUGCCUUAGCGGGGAAACCACCCAAGGUGGUGGCUAAGGCCCCAGGAGGGCUGUCCUUUCCUCAAAGAUAGCGGCUGGAGCAUCCCGACUCUUGAGCACAAGGCAAUUCCUGGAGAACACAUUUUGCAACUCUGAUGAUCAAGAAAUUCAGCUGGGGUCUAUUCCCAUUUUUCAAAAGGUCCACUGAGAUGUGGAUUCUAUAUUUCUGCAGAUAUAUGUGGUAGUACUGGAAUUUUGACUCCUUACAUACACUGUGUAUCAUUAAUGUCUUUCACGAAAAAUGUGUCAAGAAAGAGUGUAGAAGAAAACAGAUGAACCAGCCUGAGUUACUUCAUGGCCUAUCCAAGGCUUCAUCUCAAAGUCAAAUUGCAGCAAUUCCCAAAGUCAGCUGAGUAAAUUUCAGUGGGUUCAGCAUAUUCACCAUGAAUAUCAGAACUGCUGGAUUCUUGUGUCUCCUCAUGGACUGCAUUUGACAAUGCAAAAACAACAACAACAACAACAACAAAACAAACAAACAAACAAACAAAAAAUCAACAGAAGUUUUUCCUGCCUCUUACAUUUCUUCUCCCGUUUCUCUCAUAUCUACAAAUAUGUGAAUGCAGACUGAAGAUUUGCCCUCAGAUGAGACACUUCUUGGAUCUCUCUCCUUUGGCCACUGUUUUCAUAACAAAUAUUCUACUUCUGCUCAAUUCCAAGGCUAUUUUUUCUCUUUAUCCAUCUGCUUUUUCUACUGUCAGGAGUAGAAGACGUCAGGAACUUACUUUGCGGUACCACACAUUUGAAUUGCUGACUUUGCAGUGAUAGUACUUGUGAGAUUUGUAGAUCAGUUUUAUGCAGUCAUUAAGUUGAUUGCUGUGAAAGUUUCUGACCAUUUGAAUCUUCACCAAAAGCAACCUCAAGCCCAUUACUCAUUAACUGCAUUUGCUUUAUAGCACCUAUAGCUAGGAAGCAACAAUGAAGUAUACUGGGAAUUUGAGUUCAUUCCUCUUGCAAAAGACACUGGAACAACUUUAUCCUGCUACAUAAGGCCUGUCCCUUCAUAUACUCUAUCAGAACUGAAAUAAACCCAGAAUGUGCCAUGCACUUUCCACAUAAGAAUGGGACGUCCCUUAGCGUUAGAACAAGGAUUCUAACCAGCCACAAAAAGUUUUCUAUAUUUAGAAAAGACACUUCCAGACCUGAGGGCUUUUUUGAAGAAGUCUGUCUUGGAAAAUCGUGGAGAGUCUGCAGGAGAUAUGGGGAACCUUUUUGGGUUUUUUUUGGCUUGCUGUUAAGCUGGGUCUAUCUUAAGGCACCCAUUAGAAUUUGAUAGGGCAGAUGAAUGAGCAUGCUGCUAGAACACCUGAAUAGGGAAUAUUAGUGAGAUAGCUUAGCAGGAGCGUGGAUGAGAAAGAGACCAGGUCACAGUGACAGGGGUGGUAACACUACUGAGUUUCCUGAACAAGAAAUAAAGCUUAUGUGUCAAGGUCUGCAUGGUUUUAAACACUCUGAUUGUAUGGAACACUUCUUUUUUUUCCUUCAGCUGUUUUAAUGGCUCUAUUAGCACUUGCCAAAUUUUGAAUAUUGUUCAUUUACAAUAUUUGCAACCCACCCCCCUGACUCUUUUACAGCUAGUCUAAUACAUGCCGUGUGUGUAUAAUUGCCCAUUAUUCCAUUGAAAUUACAGGCAAUCACAUCAUGUGCAUUAUUUUAAAUGUAUUGUCAUCACAUGUGCCAUAAAUUAUCAGCUUUGGAACUACUAGCUGCAUGCUUCAGCAACAGCGGGAUUACAGGCUGAAUACGAUGUGGAAUAUGACAUAAAUAUUCAUGCAGAGACUGUACUCAUGUUCAUGAAGCAUUUUCAGACUUGAGGACUUCAUCAGUUGCCAGCAUUUCUCAGAGAUGGGAACUACACAGAUAACUCCCUGGACAAUUAAUUAUUCAUUCAUUUUGCAUAAGGAAAAAACAGUCUUCAGGCUUAGUUUCAUCCAUUGUUUAAAAUGCAUGCAGAAAAAGCCUUUCCUUCUGAAGGAGGUGAAUAGCAGAUGAGAAGCUUCCUGGAAGACUGUGCAUCGUUUCUACCCACACUGAAUUGUGUGGGUUAAAAAAGGUUUGUAUCAGCAAUGGGGGACAGCCACCAAAGCAGAAUUGUCAGCCCUCUGCUCUUUGUGGUUGUUGUCCAAAGGUGGCUUUGGUAGAAAUAUGACAAAUAAAAUGAAGAUAGAUUUAUGAAGUUUCAAUAAUCUGUCAUUUACCUUCUUGUAGUGUUAAGUUGGAAUGGUACUACUGUCCCCAAGUCCACACAUGAAGGAAGCUGCAAAGCUUGGCACACUGACUGACAUGAAGCAGGAGUCUCCUUGUGCAAUCACUAAAUGUAGAGAACCUUCACUGUUACCAAUUCAGAGUCAGCCCUACCGAAGUGUCUGACUGCCAUGUAUUUCAAGGGGAAUUAUACCUAAAGCAGCACAGCAAUCCUGAGCUAAUCUUGAGGUUUUACUUCUCUUUUGGCCCACAAUAGCUAACAAGGAUAUAGUAGACCAUGAUCAUGUACAUGUCAAUAAAGUACUUAAAAUAAAUAAUACUAUGAUCAGAUUGUCUAUCUGAAGAUCCAUGUUAGGAGAGUGUCCAUAUUUUGGGACUGAAAUGGAGAUGCACUCUGGAGCAAAACUGUAUGUAAUUCAUUGUCCUUUCUUUCCUGUGCAAAAAGUUAUGAAAAGACAAAAAGUUUCUAGUAGGUAUGACUUCCACUUCAAAUGGGGCUCUAGACAGUACAAGAGGCAAAAAUAAGGCUGUUCAGAAUCUCCUAAAUGGUUUCAGUCUUUCUCAGCCUGUCUAAAUGCCUAUGUGAGACAUCAUCUGCCAUCUACCUCACUGACAGGAAGGUUUGAUAUCAGGCUAGGAUUUUGAAAUGUCCGCUAGAUACAAUACACAGAAGUAGAAAGGAUCUAGAUCACCAUUUUAUCUGCAUUCUGUAAAUCAGAGCUUAAGUAUGUGUAAAGCGGAGCAUCAUUCUAAAGGCCUCUAAUUGUAUUGUAAUUUUAGUCAAGAGUGAGCUUGGUAGCAGAAUUGGUCUGACUGGUCAACUCAAGCAGCUAAUAGGAAGAAAAAACAGAAGUUGGUAAAUUAUGCAAUUUAGUUUCAAAAAUGGGGAUGUACUGAGCUCACUUGCAAUUUCUGCCUAUGGUGGAGUGCACUGUGAUUGCAGCUGGGCUACCUGCACAUUCAUUAGUACAGAAAUCAGUGCCCAGAGGUGGAAGAUCUUUCCCCAUUGCUGCUAUAGGCAAGAUACAGAAGUGAGAAAUGCUCUCUGGCUUGUCAAGAAGAAACUGUUUUUAUCUAUCCCUUGAAGGUGAUCAGCAUUUUCAGCUGGUUGGACAGCCCAUUUGUGCCAGAGCAGUGCAACAGGAACAAAGCAUGACUGAGAGCUCCAUGCAAUACAGUGCUGUUUAAAGCUUACUUUUUUCAUCUUCCUUGACAGCUGUUUUCAAAGGCACGCAGAAUGGACAUUGCUAUUUUACCUGUCAGUUCUGCUAAAUUCCUGCUAAAUUCCUGCUAAAAUUGUUCCAGUAACUAAUUGAUUUUCAUAGAAUGUGGCAUUUUCUUUCAUCCACACAAGGAAGUGGGCUUCUGAGAUACAGCAGAAUUCCUGAUUUGCUUUAUCUGUGCAGUGGGCAGAAAACAGUAAUGAGGAGACAGUGAUUUCAAGCCAAAUCUCAGUAGAGGACAGUUUUUGGUUGUAGUGGCAUCUAUGUUAGCAUGAGUAGCAUAAGUCCACCCUGUGACUUUACCUCAUUCCUAUAGAGAUGACUAGGAGUUUACCACUUUCAGUGAGCCCUAGUGACUGCUGGACUAACUUCUAUGGAAGCUGUAUGUGGUUCCCACACAACACACGUGGAUGAUACCAUAUUCACACUUUGUCUUGAGACAAAGCAGCAUGUCAGCAUGAGGCUUUCCUUUAACUAAUAGUGAAGAUCAUAAAUUCUGUUGUUUACUUUUAUGGAAACACUGUGAGAGCUCUACAGACCACAGCAGUGAGGAACCUCACCACAGGUGGGAUAUGCGCAGUGCUGUGAUGAGCAUGAAUGGGCUCAUCCAGUACUGCAGUGGCCAACAUUCCCAGCAUAAAAAGGGAAAUCAGGUUGCUAUUAACUUUUCUAGUACUUCUAGUAGUAUCAGAGGUCUCCAGGGAUGGGGCAUCCACAUCUCUGGGCAACCUGUUCCAAUGCCUCACCACCCUCACUGUAAAAGGCUUUUUCCUUAUAUCCAACCUAAAUCUCCCCUCUUUUAGUUUGAAACCAUUUCCACUUGUGCUGUCACCACAUAUCUUGCUAAAGAGUCUGUUCCCUUCUUUCUUAUAGCCCCCCUUUAGAUACCGAAAGGCCACUAUCAGGUCUCCUCUGAGCCUUCUCUUCUCCAGCUCAGCCUGUCCUCAUAGGAUAAGUGUCCCAUUCCUUGGAAAAUUUUUGUGGCCCUUCAAAAUCUGCUUGUGGAUAUGUUGUGGUGGCAGAGAGUAACAUGCCACUGAUUUUCUGAACUUGCAGUGGUUACUGGUAAAUCUUUUGUCAGCUUCCUCCACUGGCUGAGAAUGGUGGUUUUCAUGAUUUCUGUACUCAGCUGAUUUAUAUUUGCAUGCUUUCCUUCAGUGUUUUAGGAGAGGAUCCAAAUCCACACAUUCUUAUAUAGCAAAACCAGCACUUACAAGAAGAGAGUAAGGGAGCACACACUCCAAAAUCUGGACUACUUGUUUCUUCUGGUUGUCAUUUACUGGACAGACCACUUUUGGUUAAGGUGAGUGAUCCAUAGGUCUAUCUGUUGCAACGACCCUAAAAUGCCCAAGGCAUCAUACCAUAUGAUAUCAUAUCAUCAUAUCAUACCAGGUGCUGCAGCUGCCUCCCUGAUCCUAGCUUAUCUCCUUGUCCCAGCUGCUCUGCAAGGUGAGCAAAGGAGCAGCUGGGGAACCUCUGCACUGUAUGAGGAUGCCUUCAUCCACAAAGGAUACCUUUAAGUGGGAUGUACCUUCAGACUAGGAAUGUUCUUGUUUUGUUGACCAGGUCAGAUUGGCUGGAAAGUGGCCUAGCUUGAACAUGCAGUGGUAGCAGAGCAGGUAAUCAAAGGCAGGGAAACUCCUUGGAGAAACAGGGCUGACAAGUAAAGGGGUUGUAACCCCUUGUUAAUGAGGCUACCAGUGCUGUAAAAAACACAGGGAAAAAGAGACUCAGAGCAGCAGGAAACCAGAGGACAAACAUUUUAUACCUUUUCCUGUUAUCUUGCUAUAUAGCUUUGAUCCUCAUACAGAAACCAAUGGGGGAAAGAAAUGGCACCAGAAUGGCAGAAAAUCUAUUUCACCCCCUCUUUUCCUCUUUUCUAAUGUACUCUCCAAUACACAUAUGGCAAACGUAUAGAACAGCAACAGGAAAGAAUACAGAUGAUGACUGAAAGAAAAAGGGACUGCACUAAAUGCUGCCCUGCUCUGUGCCUCCCUACUCUGAGAAGUAAAGUGACUCACUGUGCAUGAUGAUGUGCAUCACACCUAUUUUAAUCUCAGGAUUUCAAGAUUUAGGUUGAACUCUUUGAUUUCAUGGAAAUCUUGGGGUAAAUCGAAGACAAGUCCUAUGUAUAGGGAAAAGAAACAGGAAGGGACUAAUUAGAGAUGAAUUUCUUUCAAAGACUGUUCUACCCAAAUAUCACAGAGAAAUGCAUUAACAAAAGAGAUGUUCUAUCAAAGGAAAGCCAAAGUGAGAUCAUAAAAGAAAUGUUUUAUAUAAGAUCAGUAGAAACAUAAUUAUUCUCAAAUUUGCUAUAGAAACAAGGGAAAGAACCUCAGAUGAGACAUAGGAAAAAAAAUGUACCUAGUAAUCCCUGAGAGAAUGGUAACUGCAGGUACAUCAGGGCAAGAGAGUUUGCCUCCAGCUCAAAUCUUUUCUAACCAACUUUUCCCCCAAGCUGUCUCAGGGUUGUCAGCACACGCUGCCUAUCUGUCACUGAUUCAAAAGCUGGUCAGAGACUUUGCCGGUGCUGAUGAUAUACUCAAAGUUAUGUUUGUAGAAGGUGAGGCCCACACCAUGAAAAUAACAUUCCUUCAACUCUGAGUUUAGUCAACCCUUACAGCUACUGGGAAUCAGAAUAAGCAAUGCAUCGUUUUUUGGAGGAAUAGCUGUGAUAGAGGCAACCACAUGAGUCAUGUGGCUUAUGAUGGCUAGACAACAAAUCAUAGUUUAUCAGCAGCUUCCUCAAAAGCAGCACAGGAACUGCUGGGUAAUCUACAGCCUGUUUCUCUAAAGACACCCAAUGAUUUUUUCUUACACUGUGGACUGCUUACAAAGACUUUCACACUACUUCACAUGGAUCCAUCUCAUACUCAAAUUGUUGGACCUUAUUUUUACACUGAAACUCACUGUUCUGAGGCAGUGGUGUAUUUUAAUGUUUUAGGGCUUUGGUGUGCUCAGCUGAAGCCCCAGCUCCUUAGAGUUAUGACUAGAAUCACUUGGUGAUUUUCUAUCAAAUGAUGUUCAAUGGACAAUUCUAACUACAGCAAACAGUUUAGAUGUCUCUGAAAAGUGAAAUAGCUCUUCUAAUCUUUGAGGUCAGUAUAAUUUCUAGCUCCUGAAACGAGUCACUUAGUCACAAGAUUUGACGUUUCUUGUGUAUUGUUUACAAAUUCACUAAAGCACAGAUAUACACACAGAUUCACAGUACUUCCAAUCUACAUAUCAGUUAUGUAGAGGAAUGCUAUUUUAAACUGCACUGAAGAACAAUUACAUAUAUAUAUAUAUAUAUAUAUGAAUGGCCCUGCAAAAUAUCCUGGCUCAUAAUUUUAUACAGUUUGGUUCCAAUUUGAAGCUGUUCUGCUCAGUUAACAAGCACUAGUACUAACGCCUAAUUCAAAGUCCACUUGAGGCUAUGAGAAAGAUAGACUUGGGUGAGCAUUUUUGCUGGACCAGAGUUCACCAACACCCCAGCAUUACAAGUGUAUAAUAAAUAUGAGGCAGAACUGGAGCAGCAUUUGCAUCUAAAAAUGUUUUCAAGUUAGUAGGCUAUACUCAUUGUUCCCAAUGCCCUGUGUUAUUUGGAUAAAACUACUGAUUGUAAUCAGCCUGCAAAGCCUUCCUGAAUAUAGGACCCCGAAGCAGCAUGGUUAUUCUAUACUUUAAGUGCCUACUGGAGCCAUCUGUGAAAAUCACAGCCACUUUUGUGCCAUAGUCAGGUGAAGAAAUUUACAGCAGCUCUUUUCUUAGGCCUCAAGGUAGGGUAACUUUAUUAUCAAGGUGCCAGAACCAGACUCACAACUAACAUCUUGCACUUCCCACAGUAGUGGUCCAUGGCUUAAGGGGGAAUCUGAGCAUAAGUAAGAAGCUAUUGGAACAACUGUUUAACUGAGCCUGCGGUCCAACAUAUUGAUAGUUCACCAAACAUUAUCAUAGUUGUCACUGUGGGGCAAGAUAAGGUGAAAUACACAAAGUAUUGUUGAUUUUUAAAGGUCAGCACACUCAAGGUUUAAAAUAACUGUGGGUGGAAUCUUCUGGAUGUUCACAGAGAUUUCUCUGAGAAAGGGAUUUCUCUGAGAAAGGGAUAAACCAAAAAUGUGGCUUACGUGCUCUUAACAUAAGAUACCUAUGUCAGUGUUCUCAAUGCACGUAAAAUUAGUCUGUUAGCACAACCGCUCAUAACUGCAUGUUCUUCUUUGUAUUUCCAACUUUGAAUUAGCCUGUACUUCUAAAAACUUUUCUUCAAAUGAAUGUCAAAUAUAUGAAACUAUUUGAUGGUGUAUUUUAUUAUCUGUCCGCAUUGGAAGUGAUGUCACUUGGCCUUGUGGAAUGGGAUUGUUUUGAAGCAACCAAUGAACUACAUAAGCUUAUAGCUUAUCAUCUGCACUGAGGAAGGUGAGAGAGAUCCAAGAGUCAAUAGCUGUGUCUGAAAUUCUCCUUCUUUUUAUUUCUUAUAUGGGCAGAUGAUAAGUUUCACUUUACUGUCCUACUGUUUUUUACUAGAUUGACUAAAUAUAUUUCACCUGGUUAAAAAAUGCUGUUCAUUGUAUGCAUUAAAACAGAUAAUAUCCUUGGGGUUUUCUUUUGACAUAGAACAGAUUUGAAAAAAUCAGAGUAUCUUCAACAUAAAUAAAUUAUAAUUUGUUUAUUGUACUGCACCAAUUGGAACAGGCUGCAAUAGAGGUGACAGAGUCACCAUCCCUGGAGGUGUUGAAGAAAAGGGUAGAUGAUGCACUGAGUGACAUGGUCUAUCUAGAGUGGUCACAGGCGUGGGUUGAUGGUUGGGUGAGAUGAUCUUAUUGGUCUGUCCAAACUUAACGAUUCUAUGAUUCUAACUCAGAGAAGAAAUAGAAGAUUACAAGCCAGUUAAAAAAAAAAAAAAAAUCAAUUCCUGGGAGAUCUGUAUGUCCUUGUGCUUUAAAAAGUUGGAUGGAAUAACAUUUCCUUCUGUUGGGUCUUUCCACACCUGACAGGGACUGUCUCAUUUGUUAUUCUUUUGCUCACCAUUAUACAUGGCUCACAGGUGGAACCCUCAUUGCAUUUUUUUGUGAACUUUUGAACACAACACUAGGAUCUUUUCAGUUUAUAGGCCUAGGCCUGUUGAAUUAAUCAGUCAUGGACAUUUAUUGUAUUUUUAAUUUUUUUGCUCCACAGAUUUGAACAUUAAUUUUUACUUGAGAUGUGGUCGCUUUUCAAAGAAACACAAAUAAUGCAAGUGUGGUCCAUUUAGGUAGGUAGCCCAGCUGAUCUUCUAGAUAGCUCUACGCUGUUCCUAACUUGCUUUUUUAUUUUAAGACCUGAAGCGGGAUCAUUAACAUCAUCUUCUAAAAUAUGGUCAAAAAUAGGAAUAGAUGCAGAGUCUAAACUUAUAUAAUCCAUGAAUUCUCACAUACUGAAAAUUCCCUCACCCUCUUUGGCACAAGGGAACUGAUCUUAACACUCAAUCCUCCUUCACUGUAACUGUACCAUGCAGAAUAUCCAUUCAUUGCAUUUAUGGGGCUGUUUCCUCUCAAGGUGAGAAAAGACAUUUUUUGUCUUCAUAUUUCCAUGCCUUGGAUGAACUUCUGGCACUGAGAUAGAGACACAGAAAAGUAAUGUGCAUACUUACAUUUCUUAGCUCUUUAUUUAGUUUUGUAGCCAUCUUUUUUUGUUGUUGCAACACUGACCCUGCGGUUUAUCUAAGUAAGUGGUCACACCACUUCGUGUUAUGUGUCAUUAAGACUUGCAGGUCAAAUACGUGUGGGUUAGGAAGUACAGGGCUGUGAAACUCUAAAACAGCAGCAGGUAUUGAAGCUUACAUCGGUGACAUUCCUCCCUAGAAGUCACUUUAGAAUAAAAUGCCAUUUUGAUUCUGGUGGUGGAGGCUUUUGGAUGUCUGUCACAGAGUUAUCUAGAUCAAUCUAGAUAAAUCUAUGUCCGUGACAGGGGGCAGUAGGCCCAUGGGCCCCCUGGCUCCCAAAAAAUGGAAAGGGAAAAGGGAAAGGGGUAGGGGAAUGGGAGCUGGGCUCAGAGAGGAGAAAAAAAAAG